rnacentral:misc_RNA from 1 species
GAUGAAGAACGCAGCGAAAUGCGAUACGUAAUGUGAAUUGCAGAAUUCAGUGAAUCAUCGAGUCUUUGAACGCACAUUGCGCCCGCCAGUAUUCUGGCGGGCAUGCCUGUUCGAGCGUCAUUACAACCCUCAGGCCCCCGGGCCUGGCGUUGGGGAUCGGCGGAGCCCCCCGUGGGCACACGCCGUCCCCCAAAUGCAGUGGCGGUCCCGCCGCAGCUUCCAUCGCGUAGUAGCUAACACCUCGCGACUGGAGAGCGGCGCGGCCACGCCGUAAAACACCCAACUCUUCUGAAGUUGACCUCGAAUCAGGUAGGAAUACCCGCUGAACUUAAGCAUAUCAAUAAGCGGAGGA